rnacentral:rRNA from 1 species
AGAGUUUGAUCCUGGCUCAGAUUGAACGCUGGCGGAAUGCUUUACACAUGCAAGUCGAACGGCAGCACGGGAGCUUGCUCCUGGUGGCGAGUGGCGAACGGGUGAGUAAUGCGUCGGAACGUACCGAGUAAUGGGGGAUAACGCAGCGAAAGCUGUGCUAAUACCGCAUACGCCCUGAGGGGGAAAGUGGGGGAUCGCAAGACCUCACGUUAUUCGAGCGGCCGACGUCUGAUUAGCUAGUUGGUGGGGUAAAGGCUCACCAAGGCGACGAUCAGUAGCGGGUCUGAGAGGAUGAUCCGUCACACUGGAACUGAGACACGGUCCAGACUCCUACGGGAGGCAGCAGUGGGGAAUUUUGGACAAUGGGGGCAACCCUGAUCCAGCCAUUCCGCGUGAGUGAAGAAGGCCUUCGGGUUGUAAAGCUCUUUCAGCCGGAACGAAACGGUACGCACUAAUAUUGUGUGCUAAUGACGGUACCGGCAGAAGAAGCACCGGCUAACUACGUGCCAGCAGCCGCGGUAAUACGUAGGGUGCGAGCGUUAAUCGGAAUUACUGGGCGUAAAGCGUGCGCAGGCGGAUUGUUAAGCAAGAUGUGAAAUCCCCGGGCUUAACCUGGGAAUGGCAUUUUGAACUGGCAGUCUAGAGUGUGUCAGAGGGGGGUGGAAUUCCACGUGUAGCAGUGAAAUGCGUAGAUAUGUGGAGGAACACCAAUGGCGAAGGCAGCCCCCUGGGAUAACACUGACGCUCAUGUACGAAAGCGUGGGUAGCAAACAGGAUUAGAUACCCUGGUAGUCCACGCCCUAAACGAUGUCAACUGGUUGUUGGGGGGAGUGAAAUCCCUUAGUAACGAAGCUAACGCGUGAAGUUGACCGCCUGGGGAGUACGGUCGCAAGAUUAAAACUCAAA